UGCUUCCGCGCAUCUGGGUCGUAAUGAUCGAGGACAGUUUUCAUGAGCUGUGCAUUCGUCAGCCUUGCGGUGUCAACCACAGCGCCGUCUGGACCGAAGGAGCGUAUAACUCCGUCAUCGGCAACAUGUUUAUAUCCGCCAGGGGCACUCUUCAGGCGACCGAUAAUGUCGUGCACACUCUGUGUCUAGGCACAUAUCCAAUGUCAACUUUAGCUUGAUGAGUUCCCCUAGAGGAAGUAUUUAAGUCUUCGGAACUGAGAACCGAGAAUGGGAACUACCUUAGCAAGCUCAAACUCAGCACCCUGAUUUAAAACAGAAAGGUACUGACUGAUAUAUGAGAAUUGCUUCUCCCCCCCCAUCGCUUUGAGAAAAGAACACAGUUAUAUAACUUACUCCCGUUCUUGCCCACCCAGCAACAACGCCAAGAAGAUCAAACGAAUGCAAAAAUGAUUCGAAGCUUCAUAGCUGAAGAUUAGAAAAAUGGAUUGCAGCAGAUAAAAACCUUCCCCACCCCCGCUCCCUCCAAAAUUAAAACGA
rnacentral:sRNA from 1 species